rnacentral:misc_RNA from 1 species
AACUUUUAACAAUGGAUCACUUGGCUCUCGCAUCGAUGAAGAACGCAGCGAAAUGCGAUACGUAAUGUGAAUUGCAGAAUUCAGUGAAGCAUCGAAUCUUUGAACGCACCUUGCGCCCAUUGGUAUUCCGAGGGGCACACCCGUUUGAGUGUCGUGACAUUCUCAAAACCUUCUCGGUUUCUCGACCGGGCAGGAUUUGGACUUGGGAGGCUUUUGCUGGCAUUCCUUUGUUGGCGCCAGCUCCUCUGCAAUGAAUUAGUGGGGUCUGCUUUGCCGAUCCUUGACGUGAUAAGAUGUUUUCUACGUCUUGGGUUUUAGCACUCCUGCUUCUAACCGUCUCACAGUAGACAAAUGGUCCACUCGACCCACAAACCUUGACCUCAAAUCGGGUGAGACUACCCGCUGAACUUAAGCAUAUCAAUAAGCGGAGGCU